rnacentral:lncRNA from 1 species
AAAAAAGAGAUGAGCAGAAAAUAGCCACACUGUCCCCUAAAAGCUGGCUGAGGCUGGCAGGUUCUGCCAGAGUUCUCCUCUGAGAAUAGAAAGAUGGGAAAAGCAGGCAGAGACAGUGUGGGCACUGAGCAGCCAGCGGACCCCUCUGCACCCUGGUUCUCAGCAGAGCCUCCAGGGCUCCAGGCGCCUUACCGAACUUGGAGUAGAAGUAGCACUCGGGCAUCUUGGUCAUGUCAUACUCAUGCAGGAACUCACACUGGUCCCCUUUCUUGCAUAGGCCACGCAGCCAGUGUUUGCACACAACUGUCUUCUCACCACUGAUGUGGCGAAACGGACACAUGCCCCCUGCCGGCAAGAUAGGGACAGGGCGUCAGCAGAGAGGCCACCCUGAGCCUGGGGGACACGGCCUGAAGAAGCUGAGGUACCUUCACUUCCUAACUCCUGGAGCCACCUGAAGGCAUCACGUCCUGGAAAGGGGCAGAGGUCCCCCUCACAGAAGGCAACAUGAUUUGAGACUCCAGGCAUAUCUUGAAGAACAUGCUGAAGAGGAGGCAAAUGAAGAUGUACUAGGAGAUGAAACAGAAGAAGAAACAAACCCCUUGUCAAAUAGGAAGAACCCCCUGAAAAAAACUGUUGAUGUGGCAGCAGAGAAGAAAGUGGUGAAAAUUACAUCUGAAAUACCACAGGCUGAGAGAAUGCAGAAGAGGGCCGAACAAUUCAGUGUACCUGUGAGCUUGGAGAGUAAGAUCAAGUAAAAUCAGGCAGCUAGGUUUGGGAUUUCUUCAGUUCCAACAAAAGUCUGUCAUCUGAACACACCUAUGGUUAACUUGGAUAAGCCGAAGGAAAGAGCUCAAAGAUUUGGUUUGAAUGUGUCUUCAAUCUCCAGAAAGUCUGAAGAUGAUAAGAAACUGAAAAAGAGGAAGGAGCGAUUUGGGAUUGUCACAAGUUCAGCUGGAACUGGAACCACAGAGGAUACAGAGGCAAAGAAGAGGAAAAGAGCAGAGCGCUUUGGCAUUGCCUGAUGAAAGGUUCUUGAUACUUUCUGUUCUCCAGUGUUUUCCACU